rnacentral:rRNA from 1 species
AUUGAACGCUGGCGGCAGGCCUAACACAUGCAAGUCGAGCGAGCGGCGGAUGGGUGAGGAAUGGAUGGGGACUGCCCGAUAGAGGGGGAUAACUAAUGGAAACGGUAGCUAAUACCGCAUACUAUCGGAUAACCCAUAUGGGAUUAGCUAGUAGGUGAGGUAAUGGCUCACCUAGGCGACGAUCCCUAGCUGGUCUGAGAGGAUGAUCAGCCACACUGGGACUGAGACACGGCCCAGACUCCUACGGAGGCAGCAGUGGGGAAUAUUGCACAAUUGGCGCAAGCCUGAUGCAGCCAUGCCGCGUGUGUGAAGAAGGCCCUAGGGUUGUAAAGUACUUUCAGUCGGGAGGCGUUACCGACAGAAUAAGCACCGGCUAACUCCGUGCCAGCCGCCGCGGUAAUUC